UACGAAGGGGGCUAGCGUUGUUCGGAAUCACUGGGCGUAAAGGGCGCGUAGGCGGCUUUAUAAGUCGGGGGUGAAAGCCUGUGGCUCAACCACAGAAUUGCCUUCGAUACUGUAGAGCUUGAGUCCGGAAGAGGUAAGUGGAACUGCGAGUGUAGAGGUGAAAUUCGUAGAUAUUCGCAAGAACACCAGUGGCGAAGGCGGCUUACUGGUCCGGUUCUGACGCUGAGGCGCGAAAGCGUGGGGAGCAAACAGG
rnacentral:rRNA from 1 species